AUAUUGGUCAAUGGAGGCAACUCUGAACCAGCCAAGUCGCGAGAAGGAUGACUGCCCUACGGGUUGUAAACUUCUUUUUUAAGGGAAUAAAGUGAGCCACGUGUGGCUUUUUGCAUGUACCUUACUAAUAAGGAUCGGAUAACUCCGGUCCAGCAUCCGCGGUAAUACGGAGGAUCCGAGUGUUAACCGGUUUUAUUGGGUUGAAAGGGUGCGCAGGCGGAAUAUUAAGUCGGCGGUGAAAGUUUGCAGCUUAACUGUAAAAUUGCCGUUGAUACUGGUAUUCUUGAGUGUAUAUGAAGUAGGCGGAAUUUGUAGUGUAGCGGUGAAAUGCAUAGAUAUUACAAGGAACUCCGAUUGCGAAGGCAGCUUACUAAAAUACAACUGACGCUUAGGCACGAAGGCGUGGGGAUCAAACA
rnacentral:rRNA from 1 species